GGAAUGACAGAUAUAUCAUAAAACUUUCAAAAUAACUGUAAAAGACAGAAGAGAUAAGCUUCAAAGCAACCAUUUAUACGCUUCUAAGAGCACAAUGUUGUGUAUGUUCGAUCAGAAAAAAUCCUACAACUCCCAGGACUCUGGCCAGGAGACUCUUUUUGCCUAAACAUGCACAGAAGUAUACUCUAAAUCUUCUGCCAAGGACAGUAAUCUGUAUAAAAGGCUGUAUCUGAACUGUAAGACUGCCUAUUUGUGCAGUUUGGGCAUACAGUACAAUGAUGCUGUAUCUUUCUUUUUCUCCCAUGCUCUCUUGUCUAAGGACACUUCAUUCUAAGUAUUUUUUCAAUAUAUAGUUAAAAAUGUAGAAAAUGAUUCCUGCAUUACUGAAAACCUGUAUAGGCAUACAGGGACCAUGACAGGUUUUAAUACCCUGCUCAGUGGCAAACCUGAGUCCACCUCUCCAUCCAGUUGUGAAAUGACCCACCAACAUUUUAGGCAGCAUGAGGAAAUAAACAGAUCAUAUGGAUAUUUGCCUGUCGCACUCUUUGAACCUUUGAUAGAUUUUUAUAGAGAAUAACCCAAGGUAUCUCUUGAAGAGUUAUGCAAACUCCCCACUUACUGUCCAGCAAGCAAACACCAGUGAACAUGUCCAGCCUCCUCAAAGAGCUGCCCCUAGAGUGCUUUAGUGGUUCAUUGUCUCAAGGUGGGAAGCAGCCCCUGGAAACAGAAAGCUGCCCUAUACCUAACAGGAGACUGACUGCAGCUCUCCAGGAUUUCAGGUAGGAGAUUUUCAACCUCUCCCUGUAGAAGGCAGAGACUGAACUUGGGACCUUUGGCAUGCAAAGCAAGUGCUCUACUACUGAGAUUUAGCCUCUCUCUAACCAGAGCGAGGGGGCAUUAGUUACCACAGUGGGAAUUAAGCUCCAGAUUAAGACAGGAAUCAGUUAGCUGAAACAGUCAAGCUUAGAGAGAAAUUUCUUUUUUCUCCAGCUGAAUAUCUUCAGAAAAUAAGUUGAUCUCACAAGUAAAAGUUCAGGAAAGAUCAUGAUUGGAAAUAACACAAGAGAUUACAUAGAAGGAGAGCUCCAAAUACUCCCUUUGCAGAGAGCCCCUUUGUGGAUACUUUCAAGUUACAAAAAUGCUCAUUCUUCCCUGCCCUCCCUGUCCCCACCAUUUCCUCUGGGAAAUGUGGAAGAAAAAUCUCCUUUGACCUUUUCCUCUCCUUUCCACUUUAAGUUUCCAGCAACCAAAGGAUGGGGAAGUUCCUGGACUCUCUUAAGGUUGAUCUCACAGAGAAGGCACACUGUCUGACUUGGAACAAUGCCUCUCCUCCACGAAGACUUAGGUGUGAAUUCUCCUCCUUUGAUAAGCCAUGCCUGCGAAGCUUGCCCGGAAGGCUGGAAUUCACAUGUUCCCACCCCCUGCUGGUUCUCUACACAGAACCUCCUCCCCUUCCACUGCCUCCGCCCACCAAACACCAGAUCAUCACAACAACAACAAGCACGAGAGUUACUAUUACUGCGCAAGCAGCAGUCUUGGAGGAAACCAAGCUAGUCUGUGGGGUGGGGAAAGCUGACUUCCUGUCACUGCACCCCUUUCCCUGUUGCCGCACUACCUGUAGGGCACUGCCGCUGGGAAUGCCAAGAACACGACAGCGCAGCCAGGCUGAAAAUUAAAAUGUCUACAUGCAACAAACAUGUGGUGUGGGGACAGUGACACAGGAAUGCAGUGGUGAGUUCCGACAGAUAUUCCCCUGAAGGUCUACGUACAUGUCCAACUGCAUACACAACUGAGUUCUUUUUCUAGAAAAUUAGGAAACCUGAACUGGCAAAGGGUCCUCAUUGUGCCCAAAAGAGCCCUUUGCACUUGCACUGUACACAACAGCUUAUAUGCAAUUGUGCACCAUACAGCUGUACAUAAUAAGUGAACAGAUCAUAAGAAGAUAUGGAGGUACGUGCAAACCUUCUCUUUCUCUGCCCCACGUGUUCACUGAGUGUUUGAAAGGGGUUACAAUGCAAUAUUUUAAAACCCCAUUUAAAUAAAUGAAAGUGUUGCAGUCCAAUUCUAAUCCUGGUUUUUUCCCCUCAAAAAUACAUCCGAUUGAUUUAAAUAGAGUUUGCCUCUCGAUUAUGUGCUUUGGAUACUAUCCCCUAAGCAUGCACUUAAUGCUCUCCAGCUGAAAUCUAUGGAACUUUAAAGUGUCUGGUUUUGGCUGGGUUAUGCCUGCUACAUAAAUAAUUUCAAGGUUUUGUGAUUUUACCAGAAAUGUUCCAAUAAUUGAUUUGCAUUUCUUCCCAGAAAGCCAAGCUCCUGAUGUCUUUUAAUCAUACUCAUGUAAUAAGAAUUCAGUAAGACUACCAUUUUAAUUUUUUCUUCUCAGAGCCAAUAAUUACAGAAAAAACACGGCAGAAACCAAAGCAUGCAACAGGAAAAUCAAAUAGUAGAGGACUGGCAACCUCGCAAUCAAGAAUAAGAUUAGCUCCCUCUGCUUUCCAUGUGGAUAGCCCCUUAUAACUCUUCCUGGUUUAUAUCAAUUUGUCCCAUCCUAAUUUUAUCCUGGGUCAGUUCAGGCCUUAAUAUAAGCAAAGUCUUCUUGGAGUGUAUUGAGUCAGGAACUUCCUUUCUGUUCUAGUGUUCACCUUUGGAACAUUUGAAAAUAAUAAAGGUAAGUGUCUGAACACAUGAGUAGAGUGUAUUUCCUCUUCCUGAUGGCGAAACACAUUUUGCAGGCAUCCCAAAUCAGAGAAUACAACUUUCAGGCAGGUUUAGAUUCCAGACAAGCUCCUUUAUCUGUAUUAUUUUAUUUGCUACAUUUAUAUCCUCCCUUUUCCUCCAAGCCAAAGGCAAUGUGCACAAUCCCUUUCCUUCCCAUUUUAUCUUCACCACAACCCUGUGAGGUAGGUUAGGCUGCAAAUGAGUGACUAACUGUCCAGCACAGUAACCACCACACUGGUGUUAACAUAUACAGAAGAAAUCUUACAACUCCCCACAUUCCUCAGCCAACCAUUCCAGGUGAAGAAUGUUGGGAGUGUGGAACUUUUUUCCUGUCUAAAUUGCAUAAGAUUGCACCAAAUAGCUUAGGGAAUCACCUGCCCCCUAUGAACUGGGCUGGGUAUUAAGACUGGCAGGAGUAGCCCUUCUGAGGGGACAGUUGCAAUUACAAAGGAUGAUUUGUUGGGUAGAUGUAAUCCUCUAAUGCCUUAAUGGAAUAUACUCCCUGAAAAGGUGUCACAGGCCUUCUGAAAAAUGCAAGAUGCAUCCUUAUAUUUACCCUCUCAGAAUGUGCUGUUUUAAUAUUUUAACUGUUUAAAUGUGUUGCUUGGAUUGCUGCACACCUUCUUAAUGGCUCUUUAGCAGAUGCUGUAGUAUAUACAUUUUAAUAGGAUUUCCUAAAAGUAAUAACUUGUUGGCCCCUGUCAAGACCCCUGCCUUGCCCUGUUACGGUUCUUCAUCUUUGAACUGGCCUGGAUGGAAGAGCCCUUCAAAUAAAGUUGGUUUCAAAUAAACAGGGCACACAGUCACCCCUCUCUGAAUUCCAGUUGCUAGGGGACAGGAAUAGGAGGGUGCUAUGUGUUGGUUUGUUUUCUAUACUGCCUUUUUGUCAGGCCCCACAAGGCUGUUUUCAAUGUUUAAGUACAAAAAAACAGUUGUUAGCACAUACACACACCCUGCAACAAAAUAAACGCCAGAAUAAAGUUGUCUCUAACCGAUUGAAGUUCUCCUCAAUAUCAGAUACUCCGAGUUCUUUAUAUUGGGCUUCUCUUCUGCCUAGGAAAGAAUGGGAGAGGGGCUGCCCCAAUACUCCUCUCACCCCACUGAGGGUCCCUUCAAUAGCUAAUGGCGUGAGCUCCCCACCCUAGACAUCUGCUCAUCCCCCCGCAUGAGUGACACAUUGUUCAUUAGCUUCCCAGAGGUUGUCUACUGCAAGAUCAAGAUGCUGGACUCAACAGGCUUCUGGCCUCAUCCAGCACAGCUGUUCCAUUUUUGUGAGAAAGGGAAUUACAAAAUUCCUGUAGCUGAGGAAGGAAGACCUGGCCUUAUAUGCGUACCACAAUGAGUUGGCCACAUGCUCUACCCCAGUUAAGAUUCCAGUGAUGUGAGUGAUCACAUCAUGGAAUGCUCCUUUACAUUUUUCUUUUAAAAGUUCUUCUUAAUAAGGCGGAAAACCCAAAGAAUUCAGGUAGAAUCUUUCUUCUGCUUGUGCCGGUUCUCUAUUUACAGGGAUUGUGUGUGUGUGUGUUAUUGGUUUUAAAUGAACUUCACUGGCUACCAGUUGUGGCACAGGACCAAUUCAAGGUGUUUACAUUGACAUAUAAAGCCCUGAACCACUUGGGGCCCAGCCAUCUAAAGGACCACCUGUACCCCUGUAUACCUACCUGCCACCUUAGAUCAGCUCAGGUGGCCCUUCUACGAGAACCACCCCUCAGGGAGAUGAGGGGGUGUCACCUAGGCGAAGGGCCUUUUCCACUGCUGCUCCCAAUUGUUGAAACUCCCUCCCUAGGGAAAUUCGCCUGGCGCUCUAUAUAUUCUUUUGGCACUAGGCAUUGAUAUACCUUUUUAGGAUUUUUUUUAACACUUAGCCUGAAUGCUGUGGCCCUUUUUAUAUUGCUUUCAUUCAUGUUUUACUUGGUUUUAAUGUGUUUUGUUAAUAUGUUUUAUGUAUUGUAAGCCACCUAGGAAGGCCUUGGCAGUUAGAGGUGGCCUACAAAUACAUGUAUAAAUAAGUAAGUAAAUAAAUGGCAUUCUACACCUGCAGUAUGAAGUCAUACAGUUCAAUACAAAUAGAGCGUACUUCUGUCCACCUCAUUCUCCUGUUUGUGUUCACCAGGCCUCUCAGCCCCAAAGAAGGUCUAUGAAUGACCCCAAAAUCUAUUGCCAGUGUUGCAGCUUUAGAAAAAAACUGAAGCCAGUCUGCCAGGAGCUCUCCAGUAUUCUCAUUUAUAUAUAGAUACAGAGAGAAUGCAUAGUUACAUAGUUCAGCUCCCAGAAUGUCACUUCCCAGGCACAAACACCAAAGUCUUAACUAGGUGCAGUGGUGCCCCUCAUUACCAUUUGAUGCCUUCUUUAUGAGGUGAGCAGUUUCUCGGGUAGGGGCAAAUUGGGUGAGCAAGCCCUUCUAACUGGUAGUAGUUCUUUCCUCCCAUAGCACCCUUGUGAGCAAUGGUAUGCCAUGCAACAAGCUGCAGCACUGGGCAGGCAGAAUGUCCAGCCCAUUCCGGUGGCCAUAAGGAGGGGUCUGCGAUAUGGGCCAUUCCACUGCAAAAGUGGUGGCUGCAAGGUGAAAGGGUACGCCGGUGUGCAACUGCAUAGCUUUGAGAGAUGAUCUCCUAAAGGGGAAAACUGGCUCGGAUUUAAGAGUUGAGCCUGAAUAGAGGAAUUGAGGCAUGGGUCAGAGUUAUCAGACAUUUGUAUAAAUAGCAUUGUACCUAAUACAGUGCAAGUAUACUAGCUAAUUGUCAUCCCAGUAGCCAUGAUGACACAGCUCAACUGACAGCGAAUUACACUUUAUUAGUUAAAUGGGUACAAAAGGGUACAUUGCAAAAUCAAAAUAUACAUCCAGCCCUGUUGGUUAUGAGUUAUUCACAUGCCUGCACACUCCCAGGCUCACCUGCAUUAAACAUGGGAGCAGGGUGCUGAUCUCUUCCCACCUGCAAUUCCCUAGUUUAAUGUAGGGAAACACAACCAUUUACAUGUGCAUCACUCCUCCUUAAUAGCAUUUUAAAUUGUGGCAUUUUUGAACUUAAAUAUAGAACGGUUAAGCAUGGAAGAGAUCUGAGAUGUGAAAUUUAAAUCUGCUAGUAUAGCAGCUGGCAUAAAAAAAAUCUGUUUGCAACUAUCUUAUACUCGAUUUAUGCUCACUGUGCAGGACAGAAUUGCCACUUAAACCCUUUGCACGGGUGAAAUAAAGCUACCUAGGUUACUGGACUUUAUUGGACUCAAAACGCAGUCUUUCAAUUCAGAUGAGGUUUCCUUCAGAGAUGCCAUGAGUACAGAUGAAGAUUAGUGCAUCCAUUCCAUAUGAAUAUCAAUCCCAACAAUGAUUUAGUGACUUCAUACUAUAAAUACAGCAAAUCUCAUUUUGUGAACAGCUUAACUACAUGCACAUAAAAACCACAUGGGCCUGAAAAUGCAAAUGAUGCUGCAUUUGAUGAUUUCAGAUCAGCAGUCCUAGCACCAGACUGUUCUUGCAGGAUUCAAAAUGGUAGCAAUGAUGUCAGAGCCUUAAAUGAAUUUGCUGUAUUUUCAUGUAUGUAUGAUUUUCCCCCCUCUGUACUGUGCCUUACAAAGUAUUCAUCCUGGCUUGACUUUCCUAGAUUUUGUUGUCUUAUACCUUGGAACUGAGAUGGAUUUAAUGAUAUUACUGCCACUCAAUGCGCACAAGAUAUUCAGCACCGUGAAAGUGCAAAAUACUUGCAUUGUGGCACAAAAUUUAAGUAAAGCGAACAACAAACUGGCACCUGUUGGUUGCAUAAGCAUUCACACACCUCUCUCUCCAGGCAAUUCUUGGCAGAAGCACCUCUGGAAAUAAUUACAAAGCUGUGAUUCUUCUUGGGUAA